GUGCUUGGUUUGGCAGCACAGAAAGUUGGAAAGACAGAGGGAAGAUUGGCAUGGCCCCUGCACAAGUAUGACAUGUACAUCCAGAAGCAUUCCAGUCUUUU
ensembl:snRNA U6 U6 spliceosomal RNA